UGGGCUGCUUCCUGACUGUUGCUACAAGGCUCUCUCUGUAGUUGCACUUCUGGUAGUCCUUCCCCCCACCUGGCUGCUGGGAGAAGUGUUCUCUGUAGCUGCUGUGGAUUGGAAUGUGGACCAAUGGGCCUCCCAUGGCUUCCUUGGCAUGGGCCAAAUGCCACUGGUGUGCGCCCUCGCAGGACCACUGGCAGGGGCCCUGAAGCUUUUGCUUUUUUCCAGCUGGGUAGCCUGUAGCUCCGGCAGGGAGCGUGCCCUGGCAGUCCUCUCUUGGCUCUUUUAGUGCAGAUUGGGUGCUGCUAGCAUGAGGCCCUACAGGGCCACUGGGCAGAACCAUGGAUCUUGUGGCUUUUCCUAGUCGGGCAGUUUGCAGCUCCUACAAGGAACGGGCGCUGGUGGCUCUUCUGGUGCAGAAUGGGCACUGCUAGUGCCAGGGCCACUGGCAGGAGCUGGGAGCAUGUGUUAUUUCCCCAGGCCUUUACUGCCUGCUCCGAGUUUUCUGUAGCCCCAAGGGCAGGGCUACUUCCCAGCUGUUGCUAGGCAGCUGCUGCUGCCCAAUGGCUCUUGGAACUGAGCCCGCAUGAGUGCAGGGGACAAGCCUGUAUUGGUGGAUCCCACCCCUUCCUUCCAGCACCCCCAAAUAAUGGCUCCCAGCCUCUAAGCCUCCACUUAUGCCCUCAAAUGUAGUCACCUCUACUCUAGUCCCUCUAGGCUGUUUCCUUGCAGCCAACCCCGGUUUUUUCCCCACAUACCCAUCCCCAGCUCCCUCUUUGGGUAUGAUCUCUAAGGCCAGAGUUUUAGUUCUUGACACCUGCUGGCACCCACAUCCAGUUGCCCGUAGCACUGACUGUGGAGGAUUGUUUCUAUUUUAACUGCUUCACACAGAUUGUCUAGAGUUCCUCCUCCAUCUUGGCUGAUCUCCUCACUGGUGGGGGACCUUCCCAGGUGCAGAAGCUUUCCACCUCCCUUCUAGCAGCUCUUUCCUCCCUCCUCCUCUUAACAGUGCUUUUUUUCACUUCUUUUUCUUCUUUCUUUUGUCCUAUUUGGUUUUGUGAAGUUUUUCUUGCUCAAUCAUAAUCCUGAGGUCUUUGGUCAGUUUUUAGAAAAUAUUCUGUGCAAAUAUUUCCACAUGGAGAUAUAUUAUCAUUGUAUUUGUGGGAGUAGGUGAGCCUCACAUCUUACUACUCUGCUAUCUUCCGGCAAGGUCCUGAAAGUGUGUGCUUUUAAUUCAGUCUCUCAGGACCUGGAUAAUGAGUGGCUACCAUUGGCUAAUGCCACUAGGGAUCUAACAGUACACGAAUCCUUUCCAGGUAAGAGUGACUCAAUGCUGUCACUGUUAUUGAACAUUUAUCACAAGUGUACUUCUUCCUGUUUUAUACAUAUCCUGGUUUCUCUUCCAUCACACUUUCUCUGGCAGCUUCAUGUGAAAAUAAACUUAGGAAGGUACCUCUUUCUUUCCUUAGGAAGAUUCCUCACUGUUCAUUGGAUGCUGGACUCAUUGUUGGGUUCCAAUUUUUUUACGUGUUUUUUCCUUUGGGUUCCUCCCUUUCAGAAAGUACCCCUAGUCCCCCCACCUGAGGCUGCCAUGUAAAAUGCAGGACAGCAGUUGAAUUUGAACUUUAGGAGUUCCCAUUGUGGUUUAGUGGGUUAAGAACCUGACACAGUGUCCAUGAGAGUGUGGACUCAAUCCCUGGCCUUGCUCAGUGGGUUAAGUAUCUGGCAUUGCUUCAAGCUACAGUGUAGGUCACAGACAUGGCUCGGAUCUGUAGGCUGGCAUUUGCAGCUCUGAUUCAACCUUCUAGCCUGGGAACUUUAUUUGGGACACAUGCAGAGUGUCUUACAUAGAUUUAUUUGUGAAAUCUAGCAACCUUAACCCCAUCCCUAUAUUUUUAUAGCUGGAAAAUGAAUUAUCCACUGUAGAGUGGUGGGGAAAUUACUUGGAAGGCCUUGUUGGUUAGGGAAAAGAGCACAUGAUUUGUUGUUUAAAGAUGCAUGUGUCAGGACAGCUGGGGAAUUACUUACAUUUCAAAAACCUACAUUUCACCCCCAUGAAAUGGGGGUAAUAGUGUCCCAAUAGCUAGGUUUUGUAAAGACCUAGUGAAAUGUUGUAUGUGAAUAGCACUGGGCUCAAUAAAAGCUAAUAACUGUUGUUUUCUAGCAAAGUAAAAUUUGUUCAUUCUCUUUCAUUAUUCCCUCUGAAAAUCUGGAUUCUGAAAAACAGCUAUUCCUCCAUAUGCCCUGCGCCCAAUGCUGUUGGAUUUUGUCCCCCGAACCCUUUCCUUUUUGAACAUCUGAUAGGAAUUUAAAUGAUUGUUAAAGAUGAUUUAAUCAUGAAGUGUACAAAAUCCUCCCCUGGUUUAUAAAUUUCUUAGGAAAGAAUUCAGUUGUUAUAAAAUGAAGGAUUAGUCCAUACCUUUCUUCCUUACAGUGUCCCUCAUGAAUUUGAAUAGCUCACAACCAGUUAUAUCAUCUAAUUCUGAGUGUCACCCUAUUUCACAUCCCAUCGUCACAUCUGAUUACAAGCAAAUAAAAACUCGGUU
rnacentral:lncRNA from 1 species